rnacentral:rRNA from 1 species
AUUGAACGCUGGCGGCAUGCCUUACACAUGCAAGUCGAACGGCAGCACGGGUGCUUGCCCCUGGUGGCGAGUGGCGAACGGGUGAGUAAUACAUCGGAACAUGUCCUGUAGUGGGGGAUAGCCCGGCGAAAGCCGGAUUAAUACCGCAUACGAUCUACGGAUGAAAGCGGGGGACCUUCGGGCCUCGCGCUAUAGGGUUGGCCGAUGGCUGAUUAGCUAGUUGGUGGGGUAAAGGCCUACCAAGGCGACGAUCAGCAGCUGGUCUGAGAGGACGACCAGCCACACUGGGACUGAGACACGGCCCAGACUCCUACGGGAGGCAGCAGUGGGGAAUUUUGGACAAUGGGCGAAAGCCUGAUCCAGCAAUGCCUCGUGUGUGAAGAAGGCCUUCGGGUUGUAAAGCACUUUUGUCCGGAAAGAAAUCCUUGGCCCUAAUACGGUCGGGGGAUGACGGUACCGGAAGAAUAAGCACCGGCUAACUACGUG